GAUGAAGAACGUAGUGAAAUGCGAUACGUAAUGUGAAUUGCAGAAUUCAGUGAAUCAUCGAGUCUUUGAACGCACAUUGCGCCCCCUGGUAUUCCGGGGGGCAUGCCUGUCCGAGCGUCAUUGCUGCCCUCAAGCACGGCUUGUGUGUUGGGCCUCCGUCCUCCUCCCGGGGGACGGGCCCGAAAGGCAGCGGCGGCACCGCGUCCGGUCCUCGAGCGUAUGGGGCUUCGUCACCCGCUCUUGUAGGCCCGGCCGGCGCUUGCCGACACAUCAAUCUUUUUUCCAGGUUGACCUCGGAUAAGGUAGGGAUACCCGCUGAACUUAAGCAUAUCAAUAAGCGGAGGA
rnacentral:misc_RNA from 1 species